rnacentral:rRNA from 1 species
AUACGUAGGGAGCGAGCGUUGUCCGGAAUUACUGGGCGUAAAGGGCGCGUAGGCGGCGCUUCAAGUCGUCUGUCAAAUGGGAGGGCUUAACCCUUUUUCGCAGACGAAACUGGAGAGCUUGAGAAGCAGAGAGGCAAACAGAAUUCCUGGUGUAGCGGUGCAAUGCGUAGAUAUCAGGAAGAAUACCAGUGGCGAAGGCGGUUUGCUGGCUGCAUACUGACGCUGAAGCGCGAAAGCCAGGGGAGCAAACGGGAUUAGAUACCCCGGUAGUCCUGGCAGUAAACGAUGUAUGCUGGGUGUGAGACUAGCGAUAGUUUCGUGCCGAAGUUAACGCGAUAAGCAUACCGCCUGGGGAGUACGGUCGCAAGAUUGAAACUCAAAUGAAUUGACGGGG